AGUAUGCUAGUACUGCGCUGAUCCUUCUUUAAUGGUUGAUCAGGUGCCUCCUUCUUCUUGAUUUGGACUCUUCCAAAGAUGAAAAGUAAAAGGAGGAGUUUCAGAUCUGAGACGCUCUCAGAAAACUCAAGAUGGAGGGAGAAAAGAUAUGAAAAUAAAUAACCCUAGAAGAAGACCCUCUUCUUCUUCUCGUUUCUCUCUCUAGACACCCUAA
rnacentral:lncRNA from 1 species